UACGUAGGGAGCAAGCGUUGUUCGGAUUUACUGGGCGUAAAGGGCGCGUAGGCGGCAAUUCAAGUCACUUGUGAAAUCUCCGGGCUUAACUCGGAACGGUCAAGUGAUACUGCUUUGCUAGAGUGCGGUAGGGGAGACUGGAAUUCCUGGUGUAGCGGUGAAAUGCGCAGAUAUCAGGAGGAACACCGGUGGCGAAGGCGGGUCUCUGGGCCGAUACUGACGCUGAGGAGCGAAAGCGUGGGGAGCGAACAGG
rnacentral:rRNA from 1 species